GGGGUUGUGGCUCAGCGGUAAAGCAUUCGCUUAGCAUGAGCAAGGCUCUGGGUUCGAUCCUCAGCACCACA
rnacentral:tRNA from 1 species